rnacentral:rRNA from 1 species
AUUGAACGCUGGCGGCAGGCCUAACACAUGCAAGUCGAACGAGUGGCGGACGGGUGAGUAAUGUCUGGGAAACUGCCUGAUGGAGGGGGAUAACUACUGGAAACGGUAGCUAAUACCGCAUCCCAUCGGAUGUGCCCAGAUGGGAUUAGCUAGGAGGGGGGGUAAAGGCUCACCUAGGCGACGAUCCCUAGCUGGUCUGAGAGGAUGACCAGCCACACUGGAACUUAUACACGGUCCAGACUACUACGUGAGGCAGCAGUGGGGAAUAUUGCACAAUGGGCGCAAGCCUGAUGCAGCCAUGCCGCGUGUAUGAAGAAGGCCGUAGGGUUGUAAAGUACUUUCAGCGGGGAGGCGUUACCCGCAGAAGAAGCACCGGCUAACUCCGUGCCAGCAGCCGCGGUAAUAC